GAAGUUGAUCUGCCUCUGAAAAAGGAUGGAUUCACAUCAGAAAGUACAACUCUGGAAGCCUUGCUGCGUGGAGAGGGAAUAGAGAAAAAAACAGACACUAAAGAGGAAGACACUAUACAAGAAAUCCAGAGGGUUUUAGAAAAUGAUGAAAAUGCAGAUGAAGUGAAUGAGGAAGAGGAUUUGGAAGAAGAUAUUCCAAAACGAAAGAACAGGCCUAGAGGACGGCCAAAGACCCCCACCUGGAAAAAAAUUUUCCAGAAAAAUGCUCGGGGCUCUGGAGGUGGCAGGAGACGGAAUGAUGCUGCCUCCCAGGAUGAUCAUGACAAACCCUAUGUUUGUGACA